rnacentral:rRNA from 1 species
CCUAGGGAUGCUGCAGUGGGGAAUAUUGGACAAUGGGGGAAACCCUGAUCCAGCAAUGCCGCGUGUGUGAAGAAGGCCUGCGGGUUGUAAAGCACUUUCGGUUGGGAGGACUGCUUCUAGCACUAAUAUUGUUGGAAGUUGACGUUACCUUCAGAAGAAGCACCGGCUAACUCCGUGCCAGCAGCCGCGGUAAUACGGAGGGUGCAAGCGUUGAUCGGAAUUACUGGGCGUAAAGCGCGCGUAGGCGGCUAGAUCAGUCGGGUGUGAAAGCCCCGGGCUUAACCUGGGAACUGCAUCCGAUACUGUCUAGCUUGAGUACAGGAGAGGAGAGUGGAAUUCCACAUGUAGCGGUGAAAUGCGUAGAUAUGUGGAGGAACACCAAUGGCGAAGGCAGCUCUCUGGCCUGAUACUGACGCUGAGGUGCGGAAGCGUGGGGAGCAAACAGGAUUAGAUACCCUAGUAGUC